rnacentral:rRNA from 1 species
CUAGCUUGCUAGGCGGAUUAGUGGCGCACGGGUGAGUAACGCAUAGAUGACAUGCCCUUUAGUUUGGGAUAGCCACUAGAAAUGGUGAUUAAUACCAAAUACCACCCUACGGGGGAAAGAUUUAUCGCUAAAGGAUUGGUCUAUGUCCUAUCAGCUUGUUGGCGGGGUAAGAGCCCACCAAGGCAAUGACGGGUAUCCGGCCUGAGAGGGUGAACGGACACACUGGAACUGAGACACGGUCCAGACUCCUACGGGAGGCAGCAGUAGGGAAUAUUGCUCAAU